UGACACACUGAGAUUUAAGGCUCUAGCUACAUAAACAUGAACUUGAAUCAGCUGCAGCCAUGAGCGUUUGGCUACAGUUGGCAGAAGGCUAAUACAAGCAAAAUUUUCUCUUCAUCUCUGAAAUGCUUUGCCGAUAUUGACACGUUUUGUCUGAUUGAUC